AGUGGGGAAUCUUAGACAAUGGGGGCAACCCUGAUCUAGCCAUGCCGCGUGAUCGAUGAAGGCCUUAGGGUUGUAAAGAUCUUUCAGUGGGGAAGAUAAUGACGGUACCCACAGAAGAAGCCCCGGCUAACUCCGUGCCAGCAGCCGCGGUAAUACGGAGGGGGCUAGCGUUGUUCGGAAUUACUGGGCGUAAAGCGCACGUAGGCGGAUCGGAAAGUUGGGGGUGAAAUCCCGGGGCUCAACCCCGGAACUGCCUUCAAAACUCCCGGUCUUGAGUUCGAGAGAGGUGAGUGGAAUUCCGAGUGUAGAGGUGAAAUUCGUAGAUAUUCGGAGGAACACCAGUGGCGAAGGCGGCUCACUGGCUCGAUACUGGCGCUGAGGUGCGAAAGUGUGGGGAGCAAACAGGAUUAGAUACCCUGGUAGUCCACACCGUAAACGAUGAAUGCCAGUCGUCGGGCAGCAUGCUGUUCGGUGACACACCUAACGGAUUAAGCAUUCCGCCUGGGGNNNNCGGCCGCAAGGUUA
rnacentral:rRNA from 1 species